CCUACGGGUGGCAGCAGUGGGGAAUAUUGCACAAUGGGCGCAACCCUGAUGCAGCGACGCCGCGUGAGUGAAGAAGUCAUUCGUUAUGUAAAGCUCUAUCAGCAGGGAAGAAAAUGACGGUACUUGAGUAAGAAGCCCCGGCUAACUACGUGCCAGCAGCCGCGGUAAUACGUAGGGGGCAAGCGUUAUCCGGAUUUACUGGGUGUAGAGGGAGCGUAGACGGCAGUGCAAGUCUGGAGUGAAAGGCGGGGGCUCAACCCCCGGACUGCUCUGGAAACUGUACGUCUGGAGUGCAGGAGAGGUAAGUGGAAUUCCUAGUGUAGCGGUGAAAUGCGUAGAUAUUAGGAGGAACACCAGUGGCGAAGGCGGCUUACUGGACUGUAACUGACGUUGAGGCGCGAAAGCGUGGGGAGCAAACAGGAUUAGAUACCCGAGUAGUC
rnacentral:rRNA from 1 species